AUGAAGCAAUACCGAUUCCUGAUGCACCUGCUACAACAAGCUUGACACCAGACCAAGCAGGUGGAUUGGAUGAUUGGGGUGCUGCUCCUGCUCCCGCACCCGCUCCCCUACCUCAACCUGUAGUCGAUGGUGGUGGUAGUUGGUCGUGAGGCCUGCUACAGAUUUUACUUUGACCAUGUAUUGCAUAUUUGGCAUAAUCUUCAGUGAGUCUUAGAAAGAAUAUCAUCAUUUGUUGGGAACUGAACUUGUUUUUUGUUUUGUUUUUCCAUCCUUUCUGGGAAUAGCUUAGAUCAAGACAAUAGUUUAAAUACUUUGAUGGUGUUGAUAUCUCGAAUGAUUGCUACAUUUGUUAUUUUUUUGAUUGGCACUUGAGCAACUUCCAAA